UACGUAGGGACCAAGCGUUGUCCGGAAUUAUUGGGCGUAAAGAGCUCGUAGGCGGUUCGGUAAGUCGGGUGUGAAACCUCCAGGCUCAACCUGGAGAGGCCACCUGAUACUGCUGUGACUCGAGUCCGGUAGGGGAGCGUGGAAUUCCUGGUGUAGCGGUGAAAUGCGCAGAUAUCAGGAGGAACACCAGCGGCGAAGGCGGCGCUCUGGGCCGGAACUGACGCUGAGGAGCGAAAGCGUGGGUAGCAAACAGG
rnacentral:rRNA from 1 species